AUGCCAAAGUAAUAUUAAGAAUUCUGUCAUGUUUCUUUACACCGAAACUGAUUUUCCAUGAUAGACGGCAACAGAGAAACUUGGAACUUGACCCUCAUCACAAAAAGAUGGAAGAAGAUGAGGAAGAGCCUGGACAAAACGCUCCAUCAGACAACAGCCAUGCCAAUUUACAAAAUGUAAACCAUCCAGACAAAAGCACGUCCUUUAUUCAGCACAUACUACAAGGUGACAACAUCCACAGCUGCAACGUCAUCAUCCGACAUAAACGCAAACUUUUGGACAGCUGGCUGUUAACCGUCCAGGACGCCAAAGUGAUGACUUCAGCAAUCCAAGUUGCAAACACACACGCCCAUCUAAUGGAUCAACUGGAACUACCAGCAGCUGCGACUCUCGCAAAUAUUGUUUUAAUCCGCGCUACAUCUGAAAAAAUUCUGUUCGUAAAUGACAUCACCAUCCACUCUAUUUCAACCGGAUGUAUUGAAAACAAACUGCAGCAGUAUGGUGAGAUUGCUGGAAUACGACCAAUCUGAACCGACAAAACCUCCAAAAGAAUUUCUUCUAAUCCAACUUAUGCCUUCCCUUAAAAAUGUCGUCGUCGAAGUGCAAAUCUCAAACGUAAAAGGACCAAUACCGUUUUCGAAAGAUGAUGGUAAAGGAAACCUCAUUAAUGGAGAGCGGAUAGCCUUCGACUGUACCGACCAGUCCGCAAACUGCAGAGCUGUCAUCUUCACAAACAUGAUCCACCAGUUCAAAGAUUUUCUUAUCGAAAAUGCUCGAUUAAUGAUUAACAGUCCUAAUAUCCUAAUAUUAUUCAAAAAAAAGAAUUUUUUUGGAAAUGAACGCUACACAGCUGAUAUUGAAAUACACAUUCAGUCCUACACUGUAACUGAAAAGUCCAACAAACGAAUUAAAUUAUUUCUUAGUAUAUACU